AGCCAAUGAGGACACAGGAGGAGACUACAAGAUUCUACUCUUGAGGAGAAGGCUAGAAUGGACCUCAAUGUAAAAAGGCGCUAUAGAAAACAGAGUGUAAUCAGGAGAUGAAAGCUGAAACAGAAGAGUUAAAAGAAAUAAGAGAAAAGUCAACACCCUUUUGUAGAAAAUGUGGGAUAUUUAGACUAUAUCGCAUUCUUAUCCUCAUCUGCACUUUCACCGGUUCUGCCCUUCUAUGGUGGGCCUUCAGCCUUUCCACCUGGGUAAAGAUAGAAAUCCCAGGCAGUUCCAAAGUCCUGUUCAGUGCUCUCUUCGCAAUCUGCAAAGGUGAGGUCACAUGUUGGACGCCUCUAUCAAGAUCAAUAUUCUAGGGAUUCAGCCCCAGGAAGGAAGGGGGCCCUAGAGGGAGCUGCUGGCCUUUCUCCCCUCUCCCUCCCUAAUUCAGACUACUUCAUAUUUGGCCAAAUUUUCAUGAUCAGCGCCCUUCUUCUCUCCUUCUUCCUGAGCUUUAUACUCCUGGCCUUCCCUCAUUCCCUUCCGGAUUCCUGGGAACAGUACUUUGUCUUCACAAUCACCUUCUUGAUCAUAGGUAUCUGCGUGUGCCUUGCAUUACUGCUGCACUCUCUGGAUAUUUUGAAACUAACUAACUUAGACAAGGAAGCGAAAAUCACCUUUCUCUACCCAACUUUCAUCCUUUUAUUCAGCGCCACACUAUUUUUCAUAUCUGGAAUUCUCUGCUUCUUCAGCUCCCAUCAUUGUUGGCUUCGGUGUGUUUUACUGCAACCAAUCCGUGUGAAACCUACGCAAGUAUCAGUGACCAGUGGAAACAGUGACAGUCACAUAGAGGAAACCAGAUAGAGAUGGCUAGCCUAACCUCACUGGUGGUGAGAAGACUAACUUUAAUAGAGACAUCAUGUUUAGCCCAUAAUUCAAGACUUCACGGCUACACACACAAUCUUGUUUAAUUACUGUGUAAGAUUGGAAAGAGUUGGCCUGUUACUAAUCAUU